CUUUGCUCAUCCUGUGCCACCCUACCUUACAGAGGAAAAAGCAGGCUGGUGUAAUGACUCAUGGGAUAUUCUCUGCCUUUCUGCUCCACAGCUGGGCCUUCAGGAGUCCAGUGCACCUAAGCAGAGAAAUGGAGAACCCUUUCCAAAGCAAAGGAGGAAGGAUAUCAAAUGAUCCUGGGUUUGCAAAACUGUGUAGCAGCAAAAUACUUUGUUGGAAUUACUCAAAGGUCAGGGAAGAGCUUCCUCUUUGCUUAAAACCCUCUUCAAUCAGCUGACUUGAGCUUGAUUCAAGAAAAGGAACUUGAGCAUAUUUAAUAGGCUGAUACAUCAGGUGAUGCAGGGUACUCUAAUUUGGAUGGUGCAUCUCUUCACCACUUUAUUAGCAGUAUAAGAAGUUAUAUCAGAAGUUACUAUAAAUAGUCUAAUUAUUUUAUUCUCAAAUGACAGUCUUAAAUAAUAUAUUCCUUGAAUCAAAAUCAAUAUCUAAAUGCUUCUAGAUACUUGCACUGAGCACAUGUUUUGAUUGUUUUAGUGGUUAAUAAUCAUGCUUCAAGAAGGAAGGUAGAAAUAGUAAAGAAAACAAAAGAGCAUUUGGCUGGAACAAAAGAGAAAAACAAGGCUUGAAAAUAUACCAUCCUCACUCUAAAUCUGUUCCUGGGAGACAUUUAAAAGUACAGCAUUUUGCAGAUCAGCUUAAAAGAGGGUGGUAAACAUAAUUUCCUCCUACUCUCUGUAGAAGUGCAUCAGGCCCUCUUAAAUACUUUCUGACUAGUGAUAGAAGUCAUAUCCAGACUGCAUUUUGAAAUCAAAGUAUUUUAAAUCAUUUUUAGAGACAUAAACAAGUGUUCAAUUAAUGAUAAUGCCUACAGAUACAAAAUGCACUAGUCCCAGAAUGAGUAAAAUUCCCCUGCUAUGAGUUCUUAAAUGUCACCUUCUGUUCUGCAUUUCCUAAGGUUCUCUCUCCCUGGAGAAGAACUUGUCACAUCAUCAAGUGUAUGGGGGAAGAAACACUAAAGUCUUUUAGAAAAUGCAUGAGCUGGAAUAACUGCUGCCCUGGAAUUUGGUCAAGAGCAGUGAAGUCUUGCAGCCUACGCUGAAAUUUGCUAACUUAAAUCCAACAAAAAUAUAAAAAGAUUAAGCACUGGUGAAAAUGAUUUUUCGAACUAGUAACUCUAGAAACCACAGCCAUGAGGAUGAGACCUGACUAACUAUCUUAAGCUGAUCCAGAAUCCUUCCUUUGGGGAAUGAAAUGUCUGAGUCCUCUACAGAAUGAAAGAAAAGGAGAACUAAGGCAAAGCACUGAGCACAGGCACCUUCCUCUAGACCAGAUUACUCACGAUGCCAUCCAACGUGGUGUUGAACACUUCCAGGGAGGGGGCUCUCACACCUUCUCUGGGCACCCUGUUCCAGUGCCUCACCAUUCCACAUUUUAACAAGGACCUGUUUCUCUCUUCUGAAAAGCUGAAUAAACAGUGAAAUUAUUUAGCUAUUUGUCUAAAUACUCAAAGACUCACAGUGAGGAAAGAGUUCAUUUCAUGUGCAUGAUUGCAGACAGUCACCUCCAGUGUGGACUUGUGGUCCAUUUGUGGCCACACCAUUUUGCAACUGUUGAGAAAAGUCUUCUAUAUAUAACCCUGAAGUCACCACCUUGAAUGAUUAACCAUUCAGUUGCAUAUAGCAUCCACUGAGAGGGCUCACCUGGUACUUCCUUGGUGUCUAACUCCUAUUUUACUGGAUUUUAAAUACCAGCUCCCAUUGAAGAUUGCAGGCCCCCUGGAUUCAUGGUACCUGAAGGACAGUCUGGCCAUAAUAUCUCAUGACAGCUCCAUCCAUUGGAACAGCAACAUCAUGAAUCACAAGACUAAAACCUGGAGGUGCAAGAAGCAGAGUUUUCUUGGCAGCUGGCCCACUGAGCUAACAUUCACCUCUGGAAGAUGUCCAGAAAGCUUGACUUCUUAGCAACAGUAUAAAAUAGCAAUGAUUAUUCUGUCUUUCCUUCCUGAAAUACAGUCAUUUGCAAUGCAGACUGAAAAUGCAAAUUCCAGACCUGGGUUUACAAGGAAGUUUUCACUCUCUAUUAAAAGACCCAGUUGUCAGGUACCGAUACCUCAAUCCUGAGUUGCUAGAAACUCCAUGCAUUGCUUUACAUGCAAUACAUGGAAAAAUGUAGGCUCUAGACAUAUGAUAUCCCCAAAUCUAGCUGGACAGGUGGCACAUGUUAGCCAACAGAAAUUGGUGAGAUAUAGAUCACAUCUCUUGCCUGUGUGGAGUCCCCUACUCUGGUAUUGGUUUCAAACCACCAGAUUUCACCUGGAUGUGAGUCCCUUCUGCCAGACCUUCUCACCAAGUAUGGCCUAAACAGUGGCUCUAUUCCAAUGGUGGACUUGCCUGGGUAUUUAUGCAAAAAUGUACAACUAGAAUAGAUUCAUUCAUGUGCUGUAGGAGGUUGAAUCUAUGUUUUCCACACCCAAAUUACUUUACCAAUGGUACUCAGGCGGAAAGGAUUCUCUUCAGUCACUGUUGUGGAAGCUAUAGUGAUUCUUGUAGAUUUAUUAAAUAUUCACUGUGCCCUAGAAAAAACGGCAUGAAUGAACAUGUCACUAUAGCUCACUGUUUUCUUAUGAUUUUCAUCUGGGAGAAGAGAAGAAUCUCACUUUCUGCACUCUCUUCCAAUUCAAAAUUUAAAUAUUUGAAAAGAAGUACUCUCUUCCACAAGAAACCUAUGGCUUAGCCCCUUAGUGUUCACAUAUUACUCUCCUUUUCUUGCUCUGACCUAAUAAAUAUUUAAUUAUUCCCUGGAAACUGGAAGUUGAGAGAAUUCCCCUCCAGUCUACUAUCAGGUACUCUCUUAGAAAAUGUACUGGGGGCCUUGUUCCCCCUUCUGUGAAUGCUUAAACCAUUACAGGUCAUUAGGUCAUAGAUCUGAGGUACUGUAACUACCAGCAGCCUCUAUAUUUUGUGCAGUCCCUUUUCUAAUAGAAGUGGUCUAAACUGCUUCUGAGUUGAGCAAGAGAGAUAGAAAGAACCUCCCCUGCAAAGCCUGAGUGAGCUAUGCAUCAUCUGGCUCCUUAGAAUGAAAUAUUGAUAAAACUGAGGCAUUUCCAACAUACUUAAAAUAAAACAUUAGAGAUUUUGCUAAUAAGAACAUAAGUGACUGUGGACUUGGACAACUCUAAAAUCAGACAAAGAAAAGUGUUGCAUUCUGAAUGCUUAACUAGCUAAAGCCAAAGUCCCAGUUAAUUUCUAUUGUCCUUUCCAGACAGAGGGUCCUGAGUCCUUAAGCUUUUUUUAUGCUCAGCAUUGCAGUGACAUGCCAGGGAUUGUGUGCAAGGCAGAGCAUCCCUGGUGUCACCUCUCCCUGGAACUACCACAGAUUGCUCUGAGCUGUCAACGCCUGCACCUCCACAGUCAGGCAUAUGUUGUGAGAUAGGGCAGAUGUGUGGGGCUGUCCCUCCCUUGCUGUGUGAGGCAGCCUGGGAGGAGGCCCUUGCAGGCACCCCUCUGACCAUGGGAAAUGGUGCCAGGAGGAGCCACUGUGUACAUCUAAAGAAAUCUAAGAAUCUUUGCCACAUGACUUGAGGAGUUUAACUGGCAGUUUCAUACUCUGUCAUGAUUGUAUUACAAGAGAAAUUUUGAAAAUAGCACAGGUUUUUUUUUUUUUUUUUUUUGAUUCUGCUGCCAAAGGAAGAGAUGGGAUAUCUGGCAGCAGAAAGCUGCUGGUUUUGUCAAUAGGAGCACAGCCAGGAGACAGGGAAGAGUCAGAAGUGGCACCGGACAUUAGGGCUCUAGGUUGCUGCUUACUUUGGCUUUAACUUUUCAGACUUGGUGCAUGAAAUUAGGGAGGGACUCUGAAAAUUUGUCCCCACAAAUUCAACAGUGAGAAGAUUACUCAAAUAACAGGAAGUUCUCUGAAUUCCUAUACACUCACAGUAUUGCAAACAUGAAGUUUGUACAGCAAGAAAGAAAUUUAUGCAAAUGGGAAGUGCAACAAGAAGAGAUCCAGCUGGUGGUAACUCAGUCAGAUUCACAGAAGAGCAGAAAUACAGAAGCUUGGAAAGCCAUGUGCUUCAGUCCUUUGGAACUAAGCUGGUCAAUGACCUACACUAAGAUCAUUCUGAGAGCUUUUUGUCUAACCAAUCCUAAAAACCUCUGGUGAAGGAUACUUCAUGACUUCCAUAGGAGCACAAUUUCAGUGCUUUAACAGCCAAAAAUAAGUUUUCUCUUAUAUCCAGUGAGAUAAUUUUAGUAUAAUUUAAGCUAAUUUAUGUUUGUUCUUAUCCCAUUGGCACUGAAGAAUUACUUAUCAUCAUCUUCUUUACAAUAACAUUUUAUAGCAACGGAAGGGAGAAAAAUGUUUUUCAUCUUACUGGGAUCAGUAGAAGGAAUAAUUACCUCCCACAUCUUUGUCAGCUCCUGUGUGAAUGCAACCCAGAGUAAAAUUUGCCUACUUGGCUACACUAUGAGAUUUUUUUUACUCAAUCUGUAUGCAUACUACUUUUUUUUUUUUUCUUUUUGUAGUAUCCUGUAACUAAAAUUUUGCCUUUCUCUGAAUAACAUCUUGGUACUGGUUGUAUCAUUUCAUUGAUUAGACUGCAAAUGAAAGUGUUAGUAAUUUAACUUUGUAGUCUAAGGAAAAAUGGAAACUACUGUAAAUAGAAGGGUUUGUCCAUGUGCUUAAUCUUUCUUUCUAGAACAGACCUGUUCUUCUCUUAAGAAUGUAAUUCCCACUCUGCUGGAGAAGCAUAAAGUGUUAUACAACUCAAGGGGUAACUGUUAUUGUUGCAAAACUUUUAUUUAAGGCUGAAUGAAUACUCAGAUUCUUCCAUCUUAUUUAUUUAUGAGAGAAGUUGAUUCAUUAAUACCAGAAGCAUCAGAUUCUGUCCUCCUACUUUGAGUAAGCUUAAGAAGGAAUAGUCCCAGAGGAGAUCAUUAGCCAUCUUCACAAAUGGAAGAUUUUUAAAGGAAAAAAAAAAAUAGACCUUCACUAACUCAGAGAUUUCAGAUUUCAGAAGAACCCAUUUCUGCAUCCAGAAUCUGCAGUGGUACAGAAUUAGUCACCAUGAACAUAUAUCUGCUGUGGUUCCAGCUGGAGGGAAUCUGUAGCUUCAAUACUUCAAUUUCAGUGUUUUAUAGAACUUGUUGCAUCUUCUUUAGUCUCUCAUUUUUCUCACUUGCAGGGUACUAUUAUAAAAAACACAGCAGAAAAGGGAAAAUGAA